rnacentral:rRNA from 1 species
GACGAACGCUGGCGGCAUGCCUAAUACAUGCAAGUCGAACGCGGCCAUCCGGUGCUUGCACUGGUGAAGCCGAGUGGCGAACGGGUGAGUAACACGUGAGAAACCUGCCCUGGAGUGGGGAAUAACUCGAAGAAAUUCGAGCUAAUACCGCAUACCUUCUCUUCACCGCAUGGUGAGUUGAAGAAAGAUUUAUCGCUCUAGGAGGGUCUCGCGGCCUAUCAGCUAGUUGGUGAGGUAAUGGCUCACCAAGGCAUCGACGGGUAGCUGGUCUGAGAGGACGAUCAGCCACACUGGGACUGAGACACGGCCCAGACUCCUACGGGAGGCAGCAGUAGGGAAUCUUGCGCAAUGGGCGAAAGCCUGACGCAGCAAUGCCGCGUGCGGGACGAAGGCCCUAGGGUCGUAAACCGCUUUCAGUAGGGACGAAAAUGACGGUACCUGCAGAAGAAGCUCCGGCCAACUAC